rnacentral:lncRNA from 1 species
CGGGCCCACUCAGCCUUACCUUGGAACAUAUUCUAUUUCUUAGAGGCCAAGCUUUGGCCAGAAAUGAGUGUCCCUUACCUCCUCCACACCAUGUUUCACUUCCAACGAACCUACAGGCCUGAACAAAGGUCCUAUCUACUUCCCCAAGGGCACACUUGACAUUAUCCCACAUUCCCAUCCCUUCCAACACUCAACUGAGCCUUCAGCUUUUGGCUCUGUCCCUGAAAUAGUUUGGAUAUUUAUCAUCUCCAAGUCUCAUGUUGAAAUAUGAUCCCCAGUAUUGGAGACGGGGCCUAAGGGGAGGUGUUUGGGUCAUGGGGGCAGAUCCCUCAUUGAUGGUUUGAUGCUAUCCUCAUGGUAACAAGCAAGCUGUUACUCUGUUAGUUCACACGAGAUUUGGUCGCUAAUGAGCCAGGCACCUCCUCCUCUCUCUUGCUUCUUUUCUCACCAUAUGAUGUGCCUACCCAUCAUUUGCCUUCACCCAUGACUGGAAGCUCCCUGAGGCCUCACCAGAGGCUGAUGCCAGCUCUAUGCUUCUGGUACAGUCUGCAGAACUGUAAGCCAAAUAAACCUCUUUUCUUUACAAAUUACCCCAGCUUAGGGAUUCCUUUAUAGCAACGCAAAAUGGUCUCACACAAUCUGCAUGGCCUUCUGAGACUCACCCAGUGCCUGGGCCUGCCCAGCUAAGGUUGGAGGAGGGGGGAGACAGAGAAGUUACCAAGUGAGCUCAUUUGCUUAUUUACUGCUCCACACCCACCUUGUUCCCAAAGCAUUUAAUGCAGAUGACAAAAAUACAUACAGCACAAUAGUAUGAAAAUAGAAAAGAGAUCAAGGCAAAGGGAUAAAGGCAAAGGAGUGAACGGUGAACCAAGGCCAGGGAUAAAGUCAAACUAUAGAAACUUACGCUUUAGAAGUGGGGGUGGGGGGUGAAGGGGGUUCCUUCAAUAAAUUCCAUAUAUAAAUUUCUGAAUUUUCUUUACAAUAGGAAGAGCUGACUCCCUGCAAACAUACACUGUUUUGCUUUAGGGAAGGAUUUUGUCAAAGGUGUGUUUAAAGGGAGUCUCCUUAAGUGCAUUUGAAGGAAGAUAUGGUUUAUAACAACUCCAUUUACACAGAACUUUGUCAACAGCGGUCAGUGGAUAGCCCUGUCUGUGGAUCCCUCGUGGCUGUCCCUGGGCAGACUGUACCACCUGGACAGCAGCUGUUCCCCUCACCGGCAUUGCUAAGCAAGUCAGUGAGUUGACAUGAUGGAGCACUUUCCAGGUGUCCUCGCCCAAGGGAGGUGGCAGGAGGACAGGGACACAGAAGAUUGGAGCACGUGCCCAGGAGCUGAGUGAGUGGUGCUGACUUUGAGCUCAGGCAUCCUCAGUACCGGAAGAACAAGGUGAACCACUGCACUAUUUAAGAGGGGAAAUUGUAUAGUGCCUGGCCAUCACGACACGGAUCAAUGGGACAUGACCACUCCCUGGUGGCCUGCAUUUGGGACCCACCUCCUUUGGGGCCUGGCUGGCCUCAUGGGUUGGUCAGCCUGUGGCCAGGAGGCGCUCACUGCCACUUAUUGAAUCACAUGGGUUGAAUCUGCUCUCGCGGAGCUCUGGGUCCCCACGGGCAGUCCCUGACCCCAGGCAGGGGACAGAGGGUACCCAGCAGGAUGCUGCCCCUGCCUUACAUGGAAGCCAUGCAUCUGGCCUGUUCCCCACAUUCUGUGUAACAGGAAUUCUACUUGGAUCCAGGAAGGAAAAUAAAAGUGUUUUUUGUUUUUUGUUUUUUUUUUUUUUUGAGACGGAGUUUUGCUCUUGUUGCCCAGGCUGGAGUGCAGUGGCAUGGAUCUUGACUCAUUGCAACCUCCAUCUCAUGGGCUCAAGCAAUUCUACUUCCUCAGCCUCCCGAAUAGCUGGGAUUACAGGCGCCUGCCACCACCCCUGGCUAAUUUUUGUAUUUUUAGUAGAGAUGAGGUUUCACCAUGUUGGUCAGGCUGGUCUUGAACUCCUGACCUCAAGUUAUCCGCCUCCCUCGGCCUCCCAAAAUGCUAGGAUUACAGGCGUGAGCCACCACGUCUGGCCCAAAAGAUGUGCAUUUCUGUUUUCUCACGGAAAUACUGUUUAAUGGAUCUCUUCCUAUGCCCUCCUGUCUCCUUGCCUCUCUGUUCCUCCCCAUCACCUCUCUCUCUUCCUCUUUCUUUCUAUCUCAGGGUGAUUUCAAAAAUCCCAGAAUAUGUCAAGAAGCCUUUAACAAGGGGAGAGAGAAUUAAGCCAAAUUAAUUACAGCAAAAUAAGUGGAAUUAGGCUUAAUUUAAGUAGGUAACAGAAAAGAACGGAGCUGGUCUUUUCCCCUUCUUGGAAGGAGUCCUUUAAGGGUUUUUUUUUUUCUUUUUUUUCCCAAAUGGAAGGGUAACAUGGCUGCUUGGCUCAGAGCAGCGUGCUCUCCUCCUCCGGUUUGCCCUGUUCUCCUGGACUGGGAUUACCGGCUUGCAAGUCGCUGACCGUGGUUGAAUUUUAUCAUUAUUAAGGUUCAGUGCUAACCUCCUCCCCUUAUUUCCUUCCCAUUUAAAGUUUGGGGGAUAAUAAAUUCUUUUGAUUUAGCAAUUAUGGGAGCACAGAAUUAGUCAAACGCGGGCUUUGAGAACAAAGUAGAAUGGGGACCCGGUGGGCUUUUGCCGAGAAGCCACAAAUACUCACAGGCUUGCCAUGGAAAGAUCUGGGGGAAAUGGUGCUUUGUUAAGUCUGAAAUUGGAUGGGUUUUAAUUUAAGAGCAUAGCUCCAACCCUCACCUCUCUCUCUAAGCAGAAAAAUAGUUAUGUUUGUGGGUGACAUAUUCCUGAAGUCAAUUGCGCUAAACCACUGUGCUGAAAUACAUUAUAUUGACUUGUCUGGGGCUGUGCUUUUUCGAGUACAACAUUGAGUUGGCUAG